CCUCACCAUAAGUGUGGAAGAAAAUGAGUUCCAGAGUUCCGAGUGGGGACAACAGUUAAAGAAAAUAUUUUCCAGGGAGUCCCCAUAGUUGCUCAGCAGUAGCAAAUCUGACUAGUAUCCAUGAGGAUGUGAGUUCAAUCCUUGGCCUUGCUCAGUGGGUUAAGGAGCCAGCAUUGCUGUGAGCUGUGCUGUUGGUUGCAGAUGCAACUCAGAUCUGGCGUUGCUGUGACUGUGGUGUAGGCUGGCAGCUACAGCUCUGGUUUGACCCCUAGCUUUGGAACUUCCAUAUGCUGUGGGUGUGGCCCUAAAAAGACAAAAAAAAAAAUAAUUAUUAUUUCCCAUUAUUUUCAAAACACAUUUCUUUUUAUUGAUAGAUUUUUAAGGAUCUCAAAAAAUUUUUUUUCCCCAAAGCAAGAUUCCCUUCUAAAAAUUGUUACUGUAAGUUACUUUGACAGAGUGUCAUCUUGACUUAUAUGUAUUAGUUGAAAAGUGGUAAUAGGGCAUAGAGAAGAAACAGUACAAAAUUUUGAUUGAUAGUAAAACCAGCCAUGAAGGAAGUCAUCACUUCAUUUUUAGAUUAUUAAAGGCAGAGUUCUCAUUCUCUAAUUAAUAAAUAUUUGCUAGUUUUCUAUUGGAAAAAGUUGUUUUAGAUGCUUUAAAUUUGUUAGAGUGUUAAAAACCGUAGGACAUAUUUUCUACCUUCAAGGAGCUUAUACUUUGGAGAGACAAGAUAUAGGCAAAGUAGAUUAUAAAUCAAAUGAAAUUUAAGAUUUAAAUCAUAUAUUAUGAAUAUAAAAUAUGACAUCCCAUAUUUAGGAUUUAUUUUUUUUCAUAAGGCCAAGUAACACCUCUUUUCAUCUCCUUGUAGUUAGUCAUAAAUUUGAGCCAUUAAUUUUUAUUUUAGAAUUUUGGAAGGAUAAUGACUAAAUUGUAUGGAUUACUAAUUGUCCUUAUUAGUAACUUUUAAAAUCUGAGUUAGUGAGUUAACUCACUUUUCAAACUUGGAAUUUUUAUAUUUGUUUAGGUGUGGGAAUAACUAACACAUAGAUAUAAAAUUAAUAAUAAUAUAUAUUACUUGGUUGUUUAAUAACACUCAUUAUAUUAUUUCCUAUUUGUUGUGUAAUUAUAGUAGGGAGAUAGUAGAUACCAUUUAGGGCCAUGUGCUUUCUAUGUAAGGCCCAAGUAAUUAGGUUCAAGAGUUAUGAACAAGAAACAAAAAUCAAAGGGGAGCUACAGGACAUGAGGAUUCCUGGCCAGGGAAAUUGUGGCAUUGUAAUACCAAAAUUUAAGAAGUAGAAAAAUAUUGUCAAGGUUCUUGGCAAAAAUUGACUUUGUGUCCCUUAAGGGAGAAUGAAAUAUGGUAGCAGGAUAAAAGGGAACCUCAAGGGAAAAUCAGCCUCGAUGUCAUAGGAGGCAUCUUCUGGUCCACAUCAUUUCAUUGCAUGUCAUUCUGUGCACCUGUCAUGGAUAAUAAUAAUGAAAAUGAACUCAUUUAGGAAAUGACCCUCUAUCUCUGCAUGGCCGGAUUGUAAAACUUUAUCCAAGGAGAAGUGUUUUAAAUAAGUCGCUUAACUUAACUUACAACAUUGUUAGACCUAAGAAUAUCUUAUCUGCCAAACACGUUUGCCUUUGAAUAAAACAAAAAUAUUUUCUAAAUUAAGAAUUGGGGUAGCCAUCUCAUUUUUAGAGUAUACAUUGCUUUCUCUUUUUCCUUUUUGUUUUUAAAGUCAGGACCUUUUAAAGUGACAAGUUAGAAAAUGUUUCGAUUUGUCUUCUUCCACACCGUCCCAAUUCAUAGGAAAUAGGAAAGACUUUAGUAACACUAAUAUCUAUUCAUUUCACCUUAUGUCAAAUGUAUUCACAAUCCUACAGCACAAAAUGGCAUAUAAAUUACAAGGAAAAUAGUGUGCUUUCUCAUUUAUAUUCUAAUCUUCAAAUUCAGGCUAUCAGCACAAGUUUAAAUAUAGAAUUUAAAACUUGAGCAGGACUGUGAGAUCACCUCAUGCUAGGGUUCCUAUUUUACCAAUGAAGAAACAAGCUUGAGAGUGACCAGUCCAAGGUCACAGGCAUUGUGAAUGAAGCCUUGACUGAGGGCUUUUGAUUGUCAGCUCAAUACUCUCUUUAUAUCACACAUCCUCUUAAACUAUGGAAAAGAAAACUUCCCCAGAAUAUCCUGCAAAGCAGAGCUGUUUUCUCAUUUAUUUUUUUUUUGUCCACACAUUUUUAAUCUAUUAAAGGCCUAAUAUAAAAUGGUGCCAGCAAAAAAUGUUAAUGUACUCCAGAGCUUUAAACUUUAUUAUUUCUGCUAAUAUAUGAGAGGCUACAAAUGACUGAGGAGUUUCUGCAUUCAGUCAUACAAAGCUUUUCUUACAAUUGGCCAUUUUAUGCCCUGUGGCACUGAGGGGCAUAAUCAUAGACCCUAAAGUUGGAAGAGGCCUCUGAGAGCAUCUUAUCCAAGUUCACAUUUGUAUACAAAUAAAAUGUGCCUCAGAGAUGCUAAAUGACUGGCAGAGGCAGAACUGUGUGGACCUGUCCAUUCUCUCAUUUCAACUUUUCCUUGUGAAAAAUGGUCCACAUUUAUGAGAUUGUUGCUUAAGGUCAACAGCACAUACGGCCAUGAAACAAAACAAAUCUUCUGCCCACAUGAGAAUCAAACUAAUUUCUCGUUUUCAUAAGUAGUUUUGAACUUUUAGUCUUAUCACAAGAAUAGGUGCAAGCUGAAAAUAUGGAGAUUCAAGAAAGGUUCAAAUAAUUCUUGAAUAUCAGCUUUGUAGUAAUUUAGGAGAUGUUAGACAUGUUUUGAGAUAUUGCAGCAGUAUUUUGACACAAUCUGAUCAUUAAGGCUACAGGCACUACCCUAGAAUGGCUGGAUCAAAAUGUUGGCUUUGCCAUUUUUUAGGGGUGCUAAUUUAGUUUCCCUGAUUCAAAACAGGGAAAAGGCUUCUCAUGGAGUGGUUGUGAGUAUGAGAUGAUUUAUACAUACAAAGUGCUUGCACAGAAGCGUUCAAUAAAUGUUUGUUGGAAACGGGAUUAAGAUGGCGGAAUAGAAGGACUGGAGCUCAACUUCUCUCCUAAAACAACAAAAUUCACAACUAAAGACUGAGCAUUCUUCACCCAAAUGGACCAGAAACCUUAAAAAAGAUAUCCUAUCCAUAAGAAAAAGAGGAGGACACAUCAAGAGGUAGGAGGUGCGAUUUUGCGAUAUAAACAACCCCAUACCUCCUGGGUGGGAAGACCCACAGACUGGAAACUAACUGGUUCACAGAGACUCACCUACAGGACUGAGAGUUCUGAGCCCCACAUCAAACUCUCAUGUGUGGGGUUCUGGCACUGGGAGAAAGAGCCCCCAGAGCAUCUGGCAUUGAAGGCCAGUGGGGCUUGUGCGCAGGGGCUCCAUGGAACUGGGGGAAACGGAGACCCCAUUCCUAAAAGGCGCACACAGACUUGCACGUGCACUGGGUCCCAGGGCAAAGCAAAGUCUCCAUAGGAAUCUGGGUCAAACCUGACUGCAGUUCUUGGAGCACAUCCUGGGAAAACAGGGGUGAAUGUGGCUUGUUGUGAGGGAAGGACAUUGAAAUUAAAGCUCUUAGGAAUAUUCAGCAGCGUGCCUAUCUCUGGAGGUGGCCAUUUUGGGAAAAUCUGGCCCCACCUGUCAGUCAGCUGCUGAGAAGCCCAGGGCAAACAACAAUCCAGGUGGGAUCACAGCCCCACCCCUCAGUAGACAGGCUGCCUAAAGACCCCUCAGGCACACAGCUGCCUCUAAUCCCAUCCAGAGACUAAGCCCCACCCAACAGAGGGAUUAGAAUCAGCUCCACCUGCCAGUGGGCAGGCAUCAGCCCCUCCCAUCAGGAAGCCUACAGCAUGCCCGCAUACAGAUUUUAGCCACAAGGGAGACAGACACCAGAAGUAAGAGAGGCUACAAUUCUAUUAUCUGUAAAAAGGUCACCACACCAAAAACCUAUAAAAAUGAAAAGACAGAGAACUAUAACUCAGAUGAGGGAGAACGGAAAAACCCCAGAAAAUCAGCUAAAUGAUCAGGAGAGCCUCAGCCUCCAGGAAAAAGACUUUAGACUGUUGAUGCUGAAGAUGAUGCAAGACAUUGGAAAUAAACUGGAGGCAAAGAUGAAUAACUUACAGGAAGCACUGACCAAAGAGAUAUGAGAUAUAAAACUUAAACAAGAAGAGAUGCAAAAUACCAUAACUGAAAGAAAAAAUUCGCUAGAAGCAGCCAACAGCAGAAUACAGGAGGCAGAAGAAGGAAUAAAUGAGGUGGAGGACAGAUUAGAAGAAAUUACGGAUGUAGAACAGAAAAGAGAAAGAAGAUUGAAAACAAAUGAAGAGAGUCUCAGAGAACUCUGGGACAAUGUUAAAUGCACCAACAUCCACAUUAUAGGGGUGCCAGAAGGAGAAGAGAGAGAGAGAGGAGACAGAAAAAAUAUUCCAAGAGAUAAUAGCUGAAAACUUCCCUAACAUGGGGAAGGAACCACUCACUCAAAUCCAGGAAGCACAAUGAGUGCCAUAUAAAAUAAACCCAAGGAGGAACACCCUGAGACACAUAUUAAUCAAACUAACCAAAAUUAAAGACAAAGAGAAAAUCUUGAAAGCAGCUAGGGAAAAGAAAUCACAUAUAAGGGAACCCCAAAAAGGUUAUGGGCAGAUUUUUCAGCAGAAACUCUACAGGCCAGAAGGGAGUGGCAUGAUAUACUUCACGUGAUGAAAGGAAAAAACCUCCAACCAAGAUUACUCUACCCAGCAAGGCUCUCAUUCAGAUUUGAAGGAGAAAUCAGAACCUUCACAGAUAAAUAAAAGUUGAGAGAAUUCGGCAACACUAAACCAGCCUUACAACAAAUACUAAAGGAACUUCUCUAGGCAGAAAAGAACAAGAGAAGAAG
rnacentral:lncRNA from 1 species